GAUGAACGCUGGCGGCGUGCCUAAUACAUGCAAGUCGAGCGAACGGACGAGAAGCUUGCUUCUCUGAUGUUAGCGGCGGACGGGUGAGUAACACGUGGAUAACCUACCUAUAAGACUGGGAUAACUUCGGGAAACCGUAGCUAAUACCGGAUAAUAUUUUGAACCGCAUGGUUCAAAAGUGAAAGACGGUCUUGCUGUCACUUAUAGAUGGAUCCGCGCUGCAUUAGCUAGUUGGUAAGGUAACGGCUUACCAAGGCAACGAUGCAUAGCCGACCUGAGAGGGUGAUCGGCCACACUGGAACUGAGACACGGUCCAGACUCCUACGGGAGGCAGCAGUAGGAAAUCUUCCGCAAUGGGCGAAAGCCUGACGGAGCAACGCCGCGUGAGUGAUGAAGGUCUUCGGAUCGUAAAACUCUGUUAUUAGGGAAGAACAUAUGUGUAAGUAACUGUGCACAUCUUGACGGUACCUAAUCAGAAAGCCACGGCUAACUACGUG
rnacentral:rRNA from 1 species